rnacentral:rRNA from 1 species
ACUGAGAACCCGAAAGGUCGAAGAAAGAAAUUCAUUCGUGUCUCGCUAUUGACAAAGUUGCGUAUGUUAGACGAUAAAUGAAUCGAAUCAUCUUUAUGUUGAUUUUCAAUUUUUAUAUCGCUAUAUAUCAAUUUUGAAUCUGAUGGUGAGCACGUGCAUUUUUCUUUUGGUAGGACGUUGCGAUCCGUUAAAUUUAUCCAUCAAUUUAUAAUUUGUAGUAUUGUUCAUUGAUACAUGUAUAAAUUUUUAUAUAUGAUAUUAGUGAAGCUAUAAAAUUUAAUUGAUUUGUUUGACGGUAAAAUAGUGGUUGAAAGUCGCUAAUUUUUAUUAGCGUUAGAGGCUAGACAAGCUUAUAAUAUGUGUAAAGGCAAUGUUAUUUACAUUUGUGAAUAGUAUUGUUCCUGGUAAUCGGUAUUUAUAUCAAUUCCGGGCCGUUUGUAUGCUGUUAGUUUAGUAUAUCUCUAACGGACUUAAUUAUUUUAUAAUAAAACCAAUCAGCAACGCUAUAGCUUUGGGUAAUUUCAGGACCCGUCUUGAAACACGGACCAAGGAGUCUAGCAUGUUCGCAAGCCAUUGGGAUAUGUUAAACCUAUAGGCAUAAUGAAAGUAAAAACAAUUUAUCUAGUAUAAAUUGAAGGGAAGAUGAAUAGUGAUAUCGAACGAUUUUGAUACAUUGUUUCGCAUUCCCGGGGCGCUUAAMUUUCAUUUUUUUGUUUACAAUUAAAUGAGAUUAUGCACUCCAAGAGUGUACACUCUGGGACCCGAAAGAUGGUGAACUAUGCCUGGUCAGGACUAAGUCAGGGGANACCCUGAUGGAGGUCC